AUUGAACGCUGGCGGCAUGCCUUACACAUGCAAGUCGAACGGUAACGCGGGGCAACCUGGCGACGAGUGGCGAACGGGUGAGUAAUGCAUCGGAACGUGCCCAGUAGUGGGGGAUAGCCCGGCGAAAGCCGGAUUAAUACCGCAUACGACCUACGGGUGAAAGGGGGGGAUCGCAAGACCUCUCGCUAUUGGAGCGGCCGAUGUCAGAUUAGGUAGUUGGUGGGGUAAAGGCCUACCAAGCCGACGAUCUGUAGCUGGUCUGAGAGGACGACCAGCCACACUGGGACUGAGACACGGCCCAGACUCCUACGGGAGGCAGCAGUGGGGAAUUUUGGACAAUGGGCGCAAGCCUGAUCCAGCCAUGCCGCGUGCGGGAAGAAGGCCUUCGGGUUGUAAACCGCUUUUGUCAGGGAAGAAAUCUUCUGGGUUAAUACCUCGGGAGGAUGACGGUACCUGAAGAAUAAGCACCGGCUAACUACGUG
rnacentral:rRNA from 1 species